UAUAAAUAAUUUUACUUUGAAACUGCGAAUGGCUCAUUAUAUCAGUUAUAGUUUAUUAGAAAUAUUUUACUACUUGGAUAACCGUAGUAAUUCUAGGGCUAAUACAUGAGUAAAACCUCAACUUCGGAAGAGGUGUGUUUAUUAGUAUGAAAACCAUAUAUCUUCGGAUAUAAUAGUGAGUAAUAAUAACCUUUCAUAUCGUAUGUCGUAAGAUAACGAUAGUUCUUUCAAGUUUCUGCCCUAUCAGCUUUCGAUGGUAGUAUAUGGGACUACCAUGGCAGUAACGGGUAACGAAGAAUUUGGGUUCGAUUUCGGAGAGGGAGCCUGAGAGAUGGCUACCACAUCCAAGGAAGGCAGCAGGCGCGUAAAUUACCCAAUCCUGACAUAGGGAGGUAGUGACAAUAAAUCACAAUGCGGAACUUUUAGUUUUGCAAUUGGAUUGAGAACAAUGUACAAAUGUUAUCGAUAAACAAUUGGAGGGYAAGUCUGG
rnacentral:rRNA from 1 species